rnacentral:rRNA from 1 species
GAUGAACGCUGGCGGCGUGCCUAAUACAUGCAAGUCGAGCGAACAGACGAGGAGCUUGCUCCUCUGACGUUAGCGGCGGACGGGUGAGUAACACGUGGAUAACCUACCUAUAAGACUGGGAUAACUUCGGGAAACCGGAGCUAAUACCGGAUAAUAUAUUGAACCGCAUGGUUCAAUAGUGAAAGACGGUUUUGCUGUCACUUAUAGAUGGAUCCGCGCCGCAUUAGCUAGUUGGUAGGGUAACGGCUUACCAAGGCGACGAUGCGUAGCCGACCUGAGAGGGUGAUCGGCCACACUGGAACUGAGACACGGUCCAGACUCCUACGGGAGGCAGCAGUAGGGAAUCUUCCGCAAAGGGCGAAAGCCUGACGGAGCAACGCCGCGUGAGUGAUGAAGGUCUUCGGAUCGUAAAACUCUGUUAUUAGGGAAGAACAAAUGUGUAAGUAACUAUGCACGUCUUGACGGUACCUAAUCAGAAAGCCACGGCUAACUACGUG